rnacentral:rRNA from 1 species
CCUACGGGAGGCUGCAGUGGGGAAUAUUGCACAAUGGGGGAAACCCUGAUGCAGCGACGCCGCGUGAGUGAAGAAGUAAUUCGUUACGUAAAGCUCUAUCAGCAGGGAAGAAACACUGACCUUACGGUCAGCAGACGGUACCUGAGUAAGAAGCCACGACUAACUACGUGCCAGCAGCCGCGGUAAUCCGUAGGGGGCAAGCGUUAUCCGGAUUUACUGGGUGUAAAGGGAGCGUAGACGGUGCGGCAAGUCUGGAGUGAAAUGCCGCAGCUUAACUGCGGAACUGCUUUGGAAACUGGCGAACUAGAGUGCGGGAGGGGUAAGCGGAAUGCCUAGGGUAGCGGUGAAAUGCGUAGAUAUUAGGAGGAACACCGGUGGCGAAGGCGGCUUACUGGACCGUAACUGACGUUGAGGCUCGAAAGCGUGGGGAGCAAACAGGAUUAGAUACCCCAGUAGUC